rnacentral:rRNA from 1 species
AUGUGCGUGGUAAAAUGAGAUGGUGGAAUGGGUUUUCCUGACCCCAAGGCCUUUAACCAAGCGUUACUGCCAAAACAUGCGUGGAGGAUCCUGCAGGCACCAACCUCUCUACGCGCGUGUGUGCUGAAGGCACGUUAUUUCAGCGAUAACUCAAUCCUAACAGCAAUAGCACCCUCAUCCGCCUCGUACACAUUCCGUAGCAUUCUUCAUGGACGGGACCUGCUACACGAGGGGAUCAUAUGA